rnacentral:rRNA from 1 species
CGGCGGACGGGUGAGUAACGCGUGGGUAACCUGCCUCAUACAGGGGGAUAACAGUUGGAAACGGCUGCUAAUACCGCAUAAGCGCACAGUACCGCAUGGUACGGUGUGAAAAACUCCGGUGGUAUGAGAUGGACCCGCGUCUGAUUAGGUAGUUGGUGGGGUAACGGCCUACCAAGCCGACGAUCAGUAGCCACCUGAGAGGGUGACCGGCCACAUUGGGACUGAGACACGGCCCAA